rnacentral:rRNA from 1 species
AACUUGUAGUUUUGUACGUUGAAUGCACCAGUUUCCCAAUGGAUCACUGAAGUUAACCAACGUUGCGCGUGGUUGGUAGCCGGAUGGGUGACCAUCGGGGACAAUUGUUUGCUGACUU